AGCGCAGGUGAGGACACAGAGAGAGACCUAAGAGAGCUCAUGUGGCUGCAAUGGUAUUUUCCUAUCUCACCAACCAGAUACAUUACUUGUUAUCUUGUGGGGAGGAGCCAAAAGAAAAAUACUUCUGGCAGAGGAGAAGAGCUUAUAUUACGGGUCAACAGAAAUUCAGGGAGAGGAAGAAAUGGCUCACUGUCAUUGUCUCCAUGGUCUAUGAGGCCAGACUGGGAAAGAACCGCUCUCUAUUUUCCCAUCUCUUCAUCCAGUUGCUGAAGACUGAACUUGCUCUUGCUCCUUUCAGCCCCAGGAAGAACUGAGGAAAAAAAGCAAAAUUUCUCAUCUAUACCUUCAGAAGCAACAUGGCGUGGCAGAAAGGACAUCAGUAUUGGAAUCACACAGAAUGAGUUUCCCACCAGGACAAACAAAUGGUUCUGUAUCAUUGAUGAAGUUAAUGUCUAGGAGGGAGCUUCUCAAAACAUCAGGGCACGUAAUUACCGGAA
rnacentral:lncRNA from 1 species